AUCCCUCGCUUUUUUCCUUUCAAAGUUCUAAGAGGGCGAACUCACCGAGGCGAGAAGUGUAACAUUCCCUCCACCCAGCUUAUAAAAGGAUUCUUUCCUGUGCCGGAGCGGAGACUGGAUCCGAAGAAACUGGCUGCUGGGGUUUGUUCCCCGGGUGACGGUCUCUGUGGGAGAUGAACCCCAUUCUUGGACAUCCCCCCCUCCCUUUCCAAAAAAAGGAAAACUUCCGUUUGAGCGGUUGAGCUAAUUCUUCAAUUUCCUACCAAACGCUGUGCUGGUGGCCCCAGAGCAAGGCUGUGACAUUGGCUGGUGGAGCCCCCUUCCUGUGUUCUGCCUUUGUUCCAGCGCAGCGAUGGUGAGAUCACUGUUCAGAGAAGGGGGACAGCUCCCUCCCGAUAGGACAAAGAGAGCAAGACCUCCACACCCUGGGGAGUCCUGGAGACCCUGACAAUUUGUCUGACUCAUUUCUGAAAUCUGUUUUGGCCUGAAGGCUAUGAAUGCACUGAGUCAAAUACGAAUUGCUUCUUCCUGCCCCUCCCAACUGACCAAAAUUUUGACAAUGACGAUGUUCACCAGAAGAAAAAACAGUUCCAUGCACUUUACUUUGUUUUAUUUUA
rnacentral:lncRNA from 1 species